AGGCGGUUUCUUAAGUCUGAUGUGAAAGCCCCCGGCUCAACCGGGGAGGGUCAUUGGAAACUGGGGAACUUGAGUGCAGAAGAGAAGAGCGGAAUUCCACGUGUAGCGGUGAAAUGCGUAGAGAUGUGGAGGAACACCAGUGGCGAAGGCGGCUCUUUGGUCUGUAACUGACGCUGAGGCGCGAAAGCGUGGGGAGCAAACAGAAUUAGAUACCUUGGUAGUCCACGCCGUAAACGAUGAGUGCUAAGUGUUAGAGGGUUUCCGCCCUUUAGUGCUGCAGCAAACGCAUUAAGCACUCCGCCUGGGGAGUACGGCCGCAAGGCUGAAACUCAAAGGAAUUGACGGGGGCCCGCACAAGCGGUGGAGCAUGUGGUUUAAUUCGAAGCAACGCGAAGAACCUUACCAGGUCUUGACAUCCUCUGACAAUCCUAGAGAUAGGACUUUCCCCUUCGGGGGACAGAGUGACAGGUGGUGCAUGGUUGUCGUCAGCUCGUGUCGUGAGAUGUUGGGUUAAGUCCCGCAACGAGCGCAACCCUUGUCCUUAGUUGCCAGCAUUUAGUUGGGCACUCUAAGGAGACUGCCGGUGACAAACCGGAGGAAGGUGGGGAUGACAUCAAAUCAUCAUGCCCCUUAUGACCUGGGCUACACACGUGCUACAAUGGAUGGUACAAAGGGCUGCAAGACCGCGAGGUUUAGCCAAUCCCAUAAAACCAUUCUCAGUUCGGAUUGUAGGCUGCAACUCGCCUACAUGAAGCCGGAAUCGCUAGUAAUCGCGGAUCAGCAUGCCGCGGUGAAUACGUUCCCGGGCCUUGUACACACCGCCCGUCACACCACGAGAGUUUGUAACACCCGAAGUCGGUGGGGUAACCUUUUGGAGCCAGCCGCCUAAGGUGGGACAGAUGAUUGGGGUGAAGUCGUAACAAGGUAGCCGUAUCGGAAGGUGCGGCUGGAUCACCUCCUU
rnacentral:rRNA from 1 species